GAUGAACGCUGGCGGCGUGCCUAAUACAUGCAAGUCGAGCGAACAGAUGAGGAGCUUGCUCCUCUGACGUUAGCGGCGGACGGGUGAGUAACACGUGGGUAACCUACCUAUAAGACUGGGAUAACUUCGUGAAACCGGAGCUAAUACCGGAUAAUAUAUUGAACCGCAUGGUUCAAUAGUGAAAGACGGUUUUGCUGUCACUUAUAGAUGGAUCCGCGCCGCAUUAGCUAGUUGGUAAGGUAACGGCUUACCAAGGCAACGAUGCGUAGCCGACCUGAGAGGGUGAUCGGCCACACUGGAACUGAGACACGGUCCAGACUCCUACGGGAGGCAGCAGUAGGGAAUCUUCCGCAAUGGGCGAAAGCCUGACGGAGCAACGCCGCGUGAGUGAUGAAGGUCUUCGGAUCGUAAAACUCUGUUAUUAGGGAAGAAAAAAUGUGUAAGUAACUAUGCACGUCUUGACGGUACCUAAUCAGAAAGCCACGGCUAACUACGUG
rnacentral:rRNA from 1 species